GAUGAACGCUGGCGGCGUGCCUAAUACAUGCGAGUCGAGCGAACAGACGAGGAGCUUGCUCCUCUGACGUUAGCGGCGGACGGGUGAGUAACACGUGGAUAACCUACCUAUAAGACUGGGAUAACUUCGGGAAACCGGAGCUAAUACCGGAUAAUAUAUUGAACCGCAUGGUUCAAUAGUGAAAGACGGUUUUGCUGUCACUUAUAGAUGGAUCCGCGCCGCAUUAGUUAGUGGGUAAGGUAACGGCUUACCAAGGCAACGAUGGGUAGCCGACCUGAGAGAGUGAUCGCCCACCUGGGAACUGAGAAAGGGUCCAGACUCUUACGGGAGGAAGCAGUAGGGAAUCUUCCGAAAUGGGGGAAGGCUUGACGGAGCAACGCGGCGUGAGUGAUGAAGGUCUUCGGAUCGUAAAACUCUGUUAUUAGGGAAGAACAAAUGUGUAAGUAACUAUGAACGUAUUGACGGUACCUGAACAGAAAGCCACGGCUAACUACGUG
rnacentral:rRNA from 1 species